rnacentral:lncRNA from 1 species
CUCCCCUAGAUUACAAAUAAUUCAAUAUAUGUUAAACACAUGCAAUUCUUAUAUACAUAUUUCCACAUUUAUCAUGCUGCAUAAGAAAAAUCAGAUCAAAAAGGAGAAAAUGAAGAAGAAAAAACAAGCAAGCAAACAACAACAAAAAGUUGAAAAUACUACGGUGUGAUCCAUAUUCAGUUCCCACAGUCCUCUCUCUGGGUGCAAAUAGUUUUCUCCAUCACAAGACCAUGGAACUGGCAUGAAUUACCUCACUGUUGAAAAGAGCUAUGUCUGUCUGAAUUGAUCAUCAUAUAAUCUUGUUGUUGCUGUGUGCAGUGUUCUCUUGGUUCUAUUCCCUUCACUCAGCAUCAGUUCAUGUAGAUCUCUCCAGGCCUUUCUGAAAUCAUCCUGCUGGUCACUUCUUACAGAAUAAUAAUAUCCCAUAACAUUCAUAACCCAUAAUUAGUCAGUGGUUCUCCAACUGAAGGACAAGAGUUGACAUUUCUAUUGGGCUUUAAUGGCUAAGUAGGAAUUGACCGGGUGAAGGGAGACAGAGGGGUGAGAAUGAUGGUUUCUAGGUCUGACUUGACUUCAUUAAAAGCCUAGCCUGCAGCUCAUUUAGCUUUUCUAUCUAGAACAACCUGAAAAAAAAAAGAAAAGAGAAUUUUGCAAACUAUUUUUAGAGUCAUGGAGUUGUUCCUUACAGGAGCUUGGACACAUUUCACAGCAUGAUGGACAGGAUGAUACAUCUUAAUUGAGCAACUGAGGAUGGGAAGAUGCUGGACCUCCUGUUCCUCGAUUCAUUUCUCCUUGCAAAAGCCAGGUGAAUGGAGUGGAGCCUCCAGCAAGUUGUGGGUUAGAAGCUGCUCCAGAAUCUGAAAUGCUGGAUGCUGGAAGCAUGCCAGAGUCUGGGUUCCAGAGACAUUCCAGGCCCAGGGCCAGUGGUAGCUGAAGCAUGGCUUGAUCCAGCAAUCAUCCAUCUAUCUGAGCAUAAACUGGCCGGAGGACUUAUUUCGCUUGUUACAGUACUGAAGAAUCUGAGAGUGAGAAGAGGAAAGGAUGGCCAAGAAAGGAUGGUCCAGAAAGAGGAAAGGAUUCCUUUCCCAGUCCAUAGGGGAAAGGAAUCCCUGCUCUAAUAUUCCCAGCACUUCGUUCUCCAGCCUCUGCUUGCAGUCCUUCAAGAAGCGAGACCCCCAUCACCUCUUGCUGUGGUCCACUGGACUCUUGGACAGUGCUCACGAUGAGAAAGCUUUUCCUGGGGAUGAGCCCAAAUUUGUCUGCAGUGAGGACUGGUUCUGCUCUCUGGGUCAACGUGAACAGAUUAAGGGGCUCCUCCUCCAUCCCACGGGCUUUCAGUUCUUGAAGACAAGCGGGCGCUUCCCCGCUAAACCUUUUCUCUCUCCUAGACCGUCCCGCUCCAGCUCAUCCUAAUGUCUUGG